GCAGCCGCGGUAAUACGUAGGGGGCAAGCGUUAUCCGGAUUUACUGGGUGUAAAGGGAGCGUAGACGGCAUAGCAAGUCUGAAGUGAAAUGCGGGGGCUCAACCCCUGAACUGCUUUGGAAACUGCUUAGCUAGAGUGCAGGAGAGGUAAGUGGAAUUCCUAGUGUAGCGGUGAAAUGCGUAGAUAUUAGGAGGAACACCAGUGGCGAAGGCGGCUUACUGGACUGUAACUGACGUUGAGGCUCGAAAGCGUGGGGAGCAAACAGGAUUAGAUACCCC
rnacentral:rRNA from 1 species